rnacentral:rRNA from 1 species
GACGAACGCUGGCGGCGUGCUUAACACAUGCAAGUCGAACGGAAAGGCCCUGCUUUUGUGGGGUGCUCGAGUGGCGAACGGGUGAGUAACACGUGAGUAACCUGCCCUUGACUUUGGGAUAACUUCAGGAAACUGGGGCUAAUACCGGAUAGGAGCUCCUGCUGCAUGGUGGGGGUUGGAAAGUUUCGGCGGUUGGGGAUGGACUCGCGGCUUAUCAGCUUGUUGGUGGGGUAGUGGCUUACCAAGGCUUUGACGGGUAGCCGGCCUGAGAGGGUGACCGGCCACAUUGGGACUGAGAUACGGCCCAGACUCCUACGGGAGGCAGCAGUGGGGAAUAUUGCACAAUGGGCGGAAGCCUGAUGCAGCAACGCCGCGUGCGGGAUGACGGCCUUCGGGUUGUAAACCGCUUUCGCCUGUGACGAAGCGUGAGUGACGGUAAUGGGUAAAGAAGCACCGGCUAACUACGUGCCAGCAGCCGCGGUGAUACGUAGGGUGCGAGCGUUGUCCGGAUUUAUUGGGCGUAAAGGGCUCGUAGGUGGUUGAUCGCGUCGGAAGUGUAAUCUUGGGGCUUAACCCUGAGCGUGCUUUCGAUACGGGUUGACUUGAGGAAGGUAGGGGAGAAUGGAAUUCCUGGUGGAGCGGUGGAAUGCGCAGAUAUCAGGAGGAACACCAGUGGCGAAGGCGGUUCUCUGGGCCUUUCCUGACGCUGAGGAGCGAAAGCGUGGGGAGCGAACAGGCUUAGAUACCCUGGUAGUCCACGCUGUAAACGGUGGGUACUAGGUGUGGGGUCCAUUCCACGGGUUCCGUGCCGUAGCUAACGCUUUAAGUACCCCGCCUGGGGAGUACGGCCGCAAGGCUAAAACUCAAAGGAAUUGACGGGGCCCCGCACAAGCGGCGGAGCAUGCGGAUUAAUUCGAUGCAACGCGUAGAACCUUACCUGGGUUUGACAUGGAUCGGGAGUGCUCAGAGAUGGGUGUGCCUCUUUUGGGGUCGGUUCACAGGUGGUGCAUGCCUGUCGUCAGCUCGUGUCGUGAGAUGUUGGGUUAAGUCCCGCAACGAGCGCAACCCUUGUUCACUGUUGCCAGCACGUUAUGGUGGGGACUCAGUGGAGACCGCCGGGGUCAACUCGGAGGAAGGUGGGGAUGACGUCAAGUCCUCAUGCCCCUUAUGUCCAGGGCUUCACGCAUGCUACAAUGGCUGGUACAGAGAGUGGCGAGCCUGCGAGGGUGAGCGAAUCUCGGAAAGCCGGUCUCAGUUCGGAUUGGGGUCUGCAACUCGACCUCAUGAAGUCGGAGUCGCUAGUAAUCGCAGAUCAGCAACGCUGCGGUGAAUACGUUCCCGGGGCU